rnacentral:rRNA from 1 species
AACGGAGGGAACAAGUGUUAUUCGUAUUAAUGGGUGUAAAACGCGCGUAGAUGGCAUUUUUAGUUUAGUUUUAAAUUUUUAAAAUUAUUUAAGUGAAAUUUUAUACGAAAAUGCUUGAGUGCUUAUAAUACAACAGUAUCUUAAGUGUAAGGUGAAAUCUAAAAAAACUUUUGAGACUAGCAAUUAGCGUAGGCGGUGUUAAGAAGUAAACUGACAUUGAGGCGCUAAAGCUUAGUAGCAAAUAGGAUUAGAGACCCUAGUAGUCUAGGCUUCACCUAUGAAUGUUAAUCAUAUAAUAAUUAUGUGGUUAGUUAACGCGAAAACAUUCUACCUGAGUACUACGACCGCAAGGUGAAACUCAAAGAAAUUGGCGGAAAACCGUACCAGCGGUGGAUAUGUGGUUUAAUUUGAGAAUACGCAAAAAACCUACCAACAUUUGCAUGUAAAAAAAAACAAAUAAACCUAUAUUAUUGGGCGCACCAUGAUAAGAGUUUAAAUGAUUUGACGGAUUUUUCACAGGCGCUGCAUGGCUGUCGUAAGUCGUGUCGUGAGAUGUCAGAUUAAUUCUUUAACGGACGCAACCCAUACUAUUUAAAUUUUAAUAUUUAAUGGUGGUGUUUUAACAAAAGGAUGAGAGUGGUUAACGUCAAGUCGAUAUGGCUUUAUAAGUUGGGCUACACACGUAAUACAAUGACAUUUUCAAGAGACAUAAUAAUGUGAAUUAUAAUAAAUCUUUAAAACUUGUCUUAGUUCGGAUAUUCUCUGUAACUUGAGAAUAUGAAGGAGGAUCGCUAGUAAUCGCAUAUUAGAAUGGUGCGGUGAAUAAUUUUCCGGUUU